GGUGGUUAUGUUAGAAGGAUACCUGCAGGGAAAGAAGUGAAGAUAGCAACCCUGGGAAUGACGAUGCUUAUCCCAGCCUUUGUGUGUAUGGCCUUUGCCUACAGUGCUAGCAUGAUGUACAUAGGACUGACAUUGUUUGCCUUUGCUUCAGCCACAGUUGUUCCUUGUCUGACAACACUGAUCUCAGGAUUUGGAGGCACGGAUAGAAGGGGGUGGUGAUGGGAGUGUUCAGAUCUCUAGGGGCUCUAGCCAGAGCUUUUGGUCCUGUCUUAUCCA